rnacentral:snRNA from 1 species
GGAUGUGAGGACGAUCAGGCUGCAACAUCUGUCACCCCUCUGAUCACCAGAGUGACUCAGCUGCUCUGGCUGGCUAGGCAGGUGUCCCCUCCCUCCCUCACUGCUCCAGGUGCGUCCCUCCCGAAGCUGCAUGCUCAGUCGAAGAGGACGACCUUCCCGGAUGGAGAAGAGGAUCGUUCUUUGGUCAAGGGUAUAUGAGUAGCUGCACUCCCCUGCUAGAACCUCCAAACAAGCUCUCAAGGUCCCUUUGUAGGAGAUUGUAGGGUAGUCAAGCUUCCAAGACUCCAGACACAUCCAAGUGAGGCGCUGCGCAAGGCAGUCUACCUUUA